rnacentral:rRNA from 1 species
UGACGAACGCUGGCGGCGUGCCUAAUACAUGCAAGUCGAGCGAGCGGAACUAACAGAUUUACUUCGGUAAUGACGUUAGGAAAGCGAGCGGCGGAUGGGUGAGUAACACGUGGGGAACCUGCCCCAUAGUCUGGGAUACCACUUGGAAACAGGUGCUAAUACCGGAUAAGAAAGCAGAUCGCAUGAUCAGCUUUUAAAAGGCGGCGUAAGCUGUCGCUAUGGGAUGGCCCCGCGGUGCAUUAGCUAGUUGGUAAGGUAAAGGCUUACCAAGGCGAUGAUGCAUAGCCGAGUUGAGAGACUGAUCGGCCACAUUGGGACUGAGACACGGCCCAAACUCCUACGGGAGGCAGCAGUAGGGAAUCUUCCACAAUGGACGCAAGUCUGAUGGAGCAACGCCGCGUGAGUGAAGAAGGUUUUCGGAUCGUAAAGCUCUGUUGUUGGUGAAGAAGGAUAGAGGUAGUAACUGGCCUUUAUUUGACGGUAAUCAACCAGAAAGUCACGGCUAACUACGUGCCAGCAGCCGCGGUAAUACGUAGGUGGCAAGCGUUGUCCGGAUUUAUUGGGCGUAAAGCGAGCGCAGGCGGAAGAAUAAGUCUGGUGUGAAAGCCCUCGGCUUAACCGAGGAACUGCAUCGGAAACUGUUUUUCUUGAGUGCAGAAGAGGAGAGUGGAACUCCAUGUGUAGCGGUGGAAUGCGUAGAUAUAUGGAAGAACACCAGUGGCGAAGGCGGCUCUCUGGUCUGCAACUGACGCUGAGGCUCGAAAGCAUGGGUAGCGAACAGGAUUAGAUACCCUGGUAGUCCAUGCCGUAAACGAUGAGUGCUAAGUGUUGGGAGGUUUCCGCCUCUCAGUGCUGCAGCUAACGCAUUAAGCACUCCGCCUGGGGAGUACGACCGCAAGGUUGAAACUCAAAGGAAUUGACGGGGGCCCGCACAAGCGGUGGAGCAUGUGGUUUAAUUCGAAGCAACGCGAAGAACCUUACCAGGUCUUGACAUCUAGUGUCAUUUGUAGAGAUACAAAGUUCCCUUCGGGGACGCUAAGACAGGUGGUGCAUGGCUGUCGUCAGCUCGUGUCGUGAGAUGUUGGGUUAAGUCCCGCAACGAGCGCAACCCUUGUUAUUAGUUGCCAGCAUUAAGUUGGGCACUCUAAUGAGACUGCCGGUGACAAACCGGAGGAAGGUGGGGAUGACGUCAAGUCAUCAUGCCCCUUAUGACCUGGGCUACACACGUGCUACAAUGGGCAGUACAACGAGAAGCGAGCCUGCGAAGGCAAGCGAAUCUCUGAAAGCUGUUCUCAGUUCGGACUGCAGUCUGCAACUCGACUGCACGAAGCUGGAAUCGCUAGUAAUCGCGGAUCAGCACGCCGCGGUGAAUACGUUCCCGGGCCUUGUACACACCGCCCGUCACACCAUGGGAGUCUGCAAUGCCCAAAGCCGGUGGCCUAACCUUCGGGAAGGAGCCGUCUAAGGCAGGGCAGAUGAC